rnacentral:lncRNA from 1 species
UUCUGGAUUUCAGAAUUUUAGGUUAGAAUAUUCCUUUUUGAUGCCUUUUUGUGCACUCUAUAAAAGAAAAUCACUCACUUAUACACACACACAUACAUAGAUCAAAUUUUCAGAAACCUAAAAAAGGGCACUAAAAGUUCAGCUACUGUUCCAUUGAUAGCUGAUCAAUUUCCUUGCUGAUCUCGACCUAAGUUAGAAUAAAUUUUUCCGUUGAAAUUUCUGGGUUCUUGAGUUGCAAGAUGGCUUGAGGUUGAAUGUUGUGAUAUUGCUGGGUUUUGCUGCUUAGUUUCAUUGGUUUUCUGCUCUGUUCUUGCUGCUUUUUUCCUUGAAGAUUCACAACCUUGUUCUUAUUCUUUGUAACCAGGUAUAUCUUGAGCCUUGAAUCAUGAAUGAAAGCUUGUUUUGAAGAGUGUCUUGCUGCCAUGGAGUUUUGGAGUUUAUAUUUACACAUUUUGUUUCUUUUCGGUGUUUAUUUCUAAGUCAUUUGAAUACUGCUCUUUUUUUGGCUUUCUUAUUAGUUAAUGUGUAGUUACAUUAAAGUCUUGUCGUGUGGAUUCAUGAAAUAGCCAAGAUAUUCAGUGUUGAUAGGAUUUGAAAAACAUCUUUUGCAUAUGCUGAAUUUAGGCUAAGUAGUCUAGUUUUAAAAUGUUUACUUUCAGUCUUUUCUACCUCCAUGUGAUUCUGUCCAGUGUUUUAAAAUUACUGUUUGUUAAUAUGUGAGUUUUUCAUACGUGUUGGGUAUGGUCAAAAUAGGCUAUGACUGAUGCUUGAGUACAUUUGGUAGAAGUGUUUCAGCAUUACUACAGUGCGUAAAAAUGAUUAUAUGCUCCUGCUGCUUCAUUAGUAACUAUUGUAGUUUUUUUUAGCGUUUCUACAGUGCUCAAAAAGAAUUAUGCAUGUUGAUUAGUACCUGCUAGAAAAAUUGGAAAUCAAAAUGGGCAUGAACAUAUAGGUUAUAUCUGUUUGAAUCUGCAGUUCUAGUAGAAAUCUUGAUUGUGCAGUACUCAUUUAAUUUUAGCAUUUGAUGGUAAAAAAAAAGUGAAUAUUAUGUUUAUUGGUUGGAAAUUCAUGAACUAUUUAGAAAGUAACCACUUCUUUUAGCUAUGAUUUGGGUCGUGGCUUAUCCGAAUGGGCCUACUCACAGACUAUUUAGAAAGUAAAUAGUCUUAAUAAUUGGCCCAUUUAAGUGGUAUGAACUAGUGAGCUAUGGCUUCAACACUCACGAAGACUUGAUAGCUCUCAGAAAGGCAAAACAUUUUUGGGCUUCAUUGUGAGCCCGCCUUCAUGUACCCCGGACCUAUUGAAUGGUCUUAACUUUGACCCAAUGAAAUAUGAACUCAUUUUUUGGGGCCUUUAAUCGAUUGAAGACUUUCAGCCCAAUUUGUAAAGUCAUCACUAUCAGUGAUAGUCACAAUUGCUGUUCAUAUGGUGUUAACAAGCAAAUUCCAUAACUUUUGAAUUUCCAUAUUAGACUUUUGUAAAAUCAUAGUUCAUACAGUAGAGCCUCAAUUUAGAUUAGAACAACAAUCUCUUAUAAACAUCCAUAGAUCGCCUUAACUGAGUAUGAUUUCUUUUAAAAUAAAUUGAGGUGUGUCAUACACAAAUAAAAUUCAUAACCUAUGGCCCUCACAUUAAUAUUAACUUAGCACAGAAAAAUGCCUUUUAAAACACUCAUACUUUGCUUUAGGCGCGACUUAGACUAUUAUUGUGAGUAUGUAUACGUUUGCAUAACAUAAUUAUGAAUUUCGUUCUAAAAAUAUAUCGAAGUAUGCGUUCGCCCAACUUCGACCAAAACUGUUUUAAUAAUUAAUAAAAUAUAAUUAAUUGUGGACACGAAUGCGUGACAUGAUUUUUGACGCGCCAAAGGAAAUGAGUAUACGUAUGCGUAACUCAAUUCUUUCAUUACGAAUAAAUCAAGUGUUUAAAAGCGGUAAAAAGAUAAAUGCACAUAGGUCCUAAAAAUGAGUAGUCAAACAAUUUAAGCCAUGUAUAAAUCGCUAAGCAACCGUGCUAGAACUAGGGAACCCGGGAAUGCCUAACACCUUCUCCCGGGUUAACAGAAUUCCUUACUUAGAAUUUUUGGUUCACAGAUUUUUAAAUAAAGUCAAAAAAAUUUCUCGAUUUGAGAUUUUAAAAUAAACCAGUGAUUUGGGACACCCAAACAAACUAUUCCAAGUGGCGACUCUGAAAUUGAAUAACUAAUCCCAUUUCGAUUAAUGUUACUUUAAUUGGAAAAACUCCCUUAUAUUACCCUCGGAUGGUAAAAAAGAGGUGUGACAAAGCUUGCAAGAGACUUAGUUAGAAUAUUAGUAGGUUGGUCAACAGUAGGAAUGUGGUGAAGGGAGAUCAAACCAGACUGUAAGCAAUCACGAAAAAAGUCAGUCAAUAUCAUUAUGCUUAGUCCUCUUGUGAAAGACAAGAUUUUUGGUAAUAUGAAGUGCAAUCUGGCUAUCACAGAACACCUGAACAGGAGCACGGAAAAUUAUAUCAAGAUCACCAAAUAAUCGAACCAGCUAGGAGAUUUCAGCCACAACUUUCCUCAAAGCUGUGUAUUCAGCUUCAGUAGAGGAAAGAGAAAUUGUUUGCUGCUUCUUGCAUUUCCAAGAAAUAGGACAACCACAAAAAAUUAAUAAAGAAACCGGUGAUAGACUUGCGAGACUAAGCACAUGUAGCCCAAUCAGAGUCAGAAUAUGCCACAAGAGAAGUAUCAGGAGACUUAGAAAGGAGAAUGCCUUGCCAGGGGCAUUCAUCAAGUACAUGAGAACAUGUAUGACAACCAACAUGUGGGAACCUGAGGAGCCUGAAGGAAUUGGCUUAAAUGUUGGACAGAUAAAACAAUAUCAGCUGUGGUGUGCUAUAAAAACUUGAGUUUCCUCACAAGUCUUCUGUAAAGACUAGGAUCAGUAACGGGCUGGCCCAUGUCAGAAGUUAGUUUGUAGAUGAUUCAAGGGGAGUCACAACUAGAGUGAAAUGCAUGCAAUUGAAUUCAGCCAAGAGGUCAAUAGCAAAUUUCUGUUGACUGACCAAGUAAACUUGACUACUCUUGAUAACCUCCAAACUCAAAAAAUAAUGGACAGACCCCAGAUCUUUGAUCUUGAACUGAGAAUUCAAGAAGGAUUUCAAAUUGUCAAGCUCAGCUACAUCAUCUCCAACAAGUAAGAUAUCAUCAACAUAGACAUCCAGGACUAUCAAGGAAGAAUUAGAAGACCUAGUGAAGAGGGAAUAAUCAUUUUUACUUGAAAUGUAGCCUUUAGAUAGCAGAGCUUCAGACAGUUUGGAAAACCACUGCCUAGAAGCCUGUUUGAGGCCAUAAAGUAACUUAUGGAGCUUGCAAACCAAGGAAGAAGAAUCAGAAGCCACAGAAGUAGAAAGUUGAAGACAUGAGGCAGUUUCAUAUAUAUUUUUUCAUAAAGAUCACCAUGACGAAAGGUAUUAUUUACAUCAAAUUGAUAAAUAGUUCAAUCCCUCUUAGCAACAAGAGAAAGAAGACACUUGAUGAUAAUGGACUUAACAACAGGAGAGAAAUUCUCUGUGUAAAUAAUACCUUCCUUUUGAGUGUCACCUCUAAUAACCAAUCUAGCUUUUUACCUCUCAAUGGAGCCAUCAGAUUUUUGUUUAAUCUUGUAAACCCAUUUGCAGGGAAUAGACUUCUUGUGACGAGGAAGAGGAAUAAUCUCCCAAGUAUGGUUUGCCUCUAGGGCUUGAAAUUCAUGUAUCAUGGCCUCUUGCCAAACAGGAUGAGAGGCAACCUGCUGAUAAAACUAGGUUCAUGCAUUUGUAGCUCAGCAGGAGAAACCUUGUUGUCGAGGGCAGAAGAGAAAACAUAGUCUUUAAGAUAGGAAGGAGUGUGACCGACACUGGUAGACUUCCUAAGCAAAGGAGAAAUUGGCAAUAAAGGGACAGAAGAGGAAUCAGAGGUAGGGAAGACAGAAGUAGAAGGGGAAGAAGGAGGAAGAGGAUAUGUAGGAGAAUGUGCAUGUAUAUAGGAAGGAGGUACAGAGGAAGAUGAAUGAGGAGAAGGAGUAGAGGCAUAGUCCACAAAAGGAACAGGAAGAACAAGAUGUACCGUGAAGAAGGUGUGGAAUAAGGAAAAACAUGUUCAUGGAAUACCACAUCUUUGGAAAAGAUAAUAGAAUGAUUGUUUAGAUUAAGGAGUUUAUAACCCUUUUUACCACAUGGAUACCCCCAAAAAACAUAUUUAAUAGCCCUAGAUUGGAAUUUAUCCUUGUGAGGUUUGGGUAUGGUAGCAUAACAUAAACAACCUAAAGAUUUGAGAUGAGCAUAUGAAGGAGAAACCCCAUGUAACCUUUGAAAGGAGACAGAUUUCCAAAGACAAAAGAGGGCAUCCUAUUUAUUAGAUAAGUAGCAGAUGCAUUCACCCCAAUAUUUGGUAGGAAGGUGAGAUUGAAAAAGCAAAGAUUUAGAGGUCUUUAAUAGGUGUUUAUAUUUUCUCUCAACUACUCCAUUUUGUUGUGGAGUAUGAGGAAUAGUGGUUUGGUGAAGGAUCCCAUUUUCAGGAAAAAAUGCCUGAGCUUCAGAACUACUGCCUAACUCAAAGGCAUUAUCAGCUCUGAAAAAUUGAACAGAGGAAUAGAAAUAAAUCUGAACUAUUUUAGUGAAAGCUUUGAUAAUGGAGAAGACAUUACUCUUACAUGACAAUAGAUUGGUCCAUAUAACUUUAGAGAAAUCAUCAACAAUGGUAAGAAAAUAUCUAAACCCAUUGUACAUUCUGGUGUGGUAAGGACCCCAGAGAUCUAAUUGGACAAGUUGAAAAGGAGAAGAGGACUUGAUAUGGCUUUCAGGGAAGGGAAGUCUCUGUUUCCUAGCCAUAUGACAAAUAGGAUAGAAAAAUAACUGCUUAGCAGAAACUAUGUUAGAUAAAAUUAGAAUAUAAUUCAUUUUAUGAAAAGAUAUAUGACCCAAUCUUUGAUACCAAAACAGUUCCAAUUUAUUAACACUAGUGGAAGAAAUACAAGAGGGAAUGGGGAAGGGGAAACAGAGUUAGAAGGAAGAACAUUACAAGCAGUACCAAAAGAAAUAGUAGAAAUAGAAGGUGAAUACUCAGGCAUGUCAGGUAGCAAAAAAUACAGCCCAUGAGAAGCUCUACCAAUUUCCAAUUGCCUCUUCAGAGAAGGGCCCUUAAAGAGUGACUACUGAAUAAUGCCAAUCAUUGUAAUUGAGAAAGAAGUUGGUAUACAAAAAUAAGGUUGAAUUGGAAAGAAAGAACUAAAAGUACAUUGUGUAAAAUAAUAUCUCUUCUAAGUUGUAAGGAACCAAUAGAUAUUACUGUGACUUUAUAACCAUUUGGUAAAGUUAAUAAGUAAGGUUUAGGUAAAUGUUGUAAAUUGUGUAAGAAUUAUUUAUUGGAAGUCAUAUGAUUGGUGGUACGUGAAUCUAGUAUCCAAGGUAUUUUUCCUAAUUGAGCAGACAAAGAAUGUUCUAUAGAAUUAACUACAGAGAAUUGAUCAACAGGAAGAUGACAUACACCUACAAAAUUGGCAUAACCAACAUUGUCAUCAGAGGGUGAAGAAUGGAUGCGAGGAGAGAUGUGAGCUUACUGGAACAGAGACAUGAGAUGCUGAUAUUGUUCUGUGUUAAAACCAUAAGCUGCAGAAUCACUGGAUUUGAUACUAGGACCAACAUCAACAACAACUUCUUCUAUUUGAAUACAAGAGGAAGAUCUCUUAUUUUUGGUGAAUUUAAAAUCAGUAGGGAAGCCACGGAGCUUAUAAUAUUUCUCUACUGUGUGACCAGGUUUUUUGCAAUACUUGUAAGACAUAGAAGAUGAGUUCCUUUUUGGAUUAAAAUUAAUUCUUUGGUUAUACG